rnacentral:sRNA from 1 species
GUGAGUGACUGACGGUGCGAGAGGAGCGAGCGCGACUCCCGAAAAGCCCGUGAAACAAGAGGAAAUGGCUGCCUUGGACGUGGAUAGCGUCGGCGGCGGUGGCGGCGGCGGCGGCCACGGCGAGUAUCUGCAGCAGCAGCAACAGCACGGAAACGGUGCGGUGGCGGCGGCGGCGGCGGCCCAGGACACUCAGCCGUCGCCGCUCGCUCUGCUGGCCGCUACCUGCAGCAAGAUAGGGCCGCCAUCGCCGGGCGACGACGAGGAGGAGGCGGCCGCCGCAGCCGGGGCCCCCGCCGCCGCCGGAGCGACAGGUGAUUUGGCUUCUGCACAGUUAGGAGGAGCACCAAACCGAUGGGAGGUUUUGUCAGCCACACCUACAACUAUAAAAGAUGAAGCUGGUAAUCUAGUCCAGAUUCCAAGUGCUGCUACUUCAAGUGGGCAGUAUGUUCUUCCCCUUCA